UCAAGAAUAUUCCCCAAUGGACGAAAGUCUGAGGGAGCGACGCCGCGUGAUCGAAGAAGCCCUUCGGGGUGUAAAGAUCUUUUAUUAGGGACGAAUCAAUGACGGUACCUAAUGAAUAAGGGGCUGCUAACUUCGUGCCAGCAGCAGCGGUAAUACGAAGGCCCCGAGCGUUAUCCGGAUUUAUUGGGCGUAAAGCGUCUGUAGGCGUUCUAGCAAGUUUUUCGUCAAAUCUCGAUGCUCAACAUCGAGACUGCGGAAAAAACUACUAGAAUUGAGGCUGGGAGAGGCAGAUAGAAUUGCCGGUGUAGCGGUAAAAUGCGUUAAUAUCGGCAAGAAUACCAAAUGCGAAAGCUUUCUGCUGGAACAGUUCUGACGCUGAGAGACGAAAGCGUGGGGAGCGAAUGGG
rnacentral:rRNA from 1 species